CAGCCGCCACGGUAAUACGUAGGGUGCGAGCGUUAAUCGGAAUUACUGGGCGUAAAGCGUGCGCAGGCGGUUAUAUAAGACAGAUGUGAAAUCCCCGGGCUCAACCUGGGACCUGCAUUUGUGACUGUAUAGCUAGAGUACGGUAGAGGGGGAUGGAAUUCCGCGUGUAGCAGUGAAAUGCGUAGAUAUGCGGAGGAACACCGAUGGCGAAGGCAAUCCCCUGGACCUGUACUGACGCUCAUGCACGAAAGCGUGGGGAGCAAACAGGAUUAGAUACCCGCGUAGUCCCUGUCUCUUAUAC
rnacentral:rRNA from 1 species